GGAGCCUCGUUCCGCGGCGACGUCACGCUGAGGAGGGCUCGGAAGGAGGCGGUGCGGGCCCGUGGGGGACCCGCCAGGCGGAAUUGAACCCAGAACCUUGGUGUAUCAGGACAGUGCUCCAACCAACUGAGCUACCUGGCCAAGGCCAUGGCAGAGUCAUCUUGGUGGAGAAGCCAAGGAGGGGAGCCUGCAGGAUCAAAGAUUGACACAGAUGGGCAAAGGAGCAUUGAGUUUAAAUUAUAAGACCUUGAUUAUGAGUGAUCAAAUCAAAUUCAUUGUGGACAAUCUCAAUAAAGAGCCUUUUAAGAAGAGCUAUAAUUUAAUCACGUUUGAUUCCCUGGAGCCAAUGCAACUAUUACAAGUUCUCAAUGAUGUCCUGGCUGAGAUUGACCCAAAGCAAGUUGUUGAUAUCAGAGAGGAGAUGCCAGAGCAAACAGCCAAACGGAUGUUAAGCCUCCUUGGUAUCCUUAAAUACAAACCUCCAGGAAAUGCCACAGACAUGAGUACCUUUCGUCAGGGUCUGGUGAUUGGAAGUAAACCUGUAAUUUACCCUGUGCUCCACUGGCUUCUUCAGAGGACUAAUGAGCUGAAGAAAAGAGCAUAUUUAGCUCGUUUCUUAAUAAAACUGGAGGUACCAAGUGAGUUUCUUCAGGAUGAAACUGUGUCUGAUACCAAUAAACAGUAUGAAGAGUUGAUGGAAGCCUUUAAAACUUUGCAUAAAGAAUGUGAGCAGCUUAAGACAUCUGGAUUUUCCACAGCAGAGAUAAGAAGGGAUAUCAGUGCAAUGGAGGAAGAAAAGGAUCAGCUCAUUAAGAGAGUUGAACGUUUGAAGAAAAGGGUGGAGACAGUUCAGAAUCAUCAACGGAUGCUUAAAAUAGCAAGACAACUUCGAGUUGAAAAAGAGAGGGAAGAAUUUCUUGCACAACAGAAACAGGAACAAAAGAAUCAGCUAUUUCAUGCAGUGCAGAGACUGCAAAGAGUACAAAACCAGCUGAAAAGUAUGCGCCAUGCGGCAGCAGAUGCAAAGCCUGAAAGCUUAAUGAAGAGACUAGAGGAGGAGAUAAAGUUUAAUUCAUAUAUGGUAACUGAAAAAUUUCCUAAAGAAUUAGAGAACAAGAAAAAAGAAUUGCAUUUUUUACAAAAAGUGGUGUCAGAGCCUGCUAUGGGCCAUUCUGAUCUUCUUGAACUUGAAUCUAAAAUAAAUGAAAUAAAUACACAGAUCAAUCAGCUGAUUGAAAAGAAAAUGUUGAGAAAUGAGCCAAUUGAAGGCAAACUCUCACUAUAUAGGCAACAGGCAUCCAUAAUUUCACGUAAAAAAGAAGCAAAAGCUGAGGAAUUGCAGGAAACAAAGGAGAAGUUAGCCAGCCUAGAGCGGGAGGUGUCUGUGAAGACAAACCAGGCCCGGGAGUUUGAUGGCACUGAGGUUCUGAAGGGAGAUGAGUUCAAGCGAUAUGUCAGUAAACUUAGAAGCAAGAGUACUGUUUUCAAAAAGAAGCAUCAGAUAAUAGCUGAAUUUAAAGCUGAGUUCGGUCUCUUGCAGAGGACGGAAGAACUCCUUAAACAACGUCUUGAAAAUAUUCAGCAUCAGCUGCAAACCAUUGAGGAGAAAAAGGGUAUAUCUGGAUAUAGUUACACCCAGGAAGAGCUGGAGAGAGUGUCUGCACUGAAGAGUGAGGUUGACGAAAUGAAAGGACGGACCCUGGAUGACAUGUCUGAAAUGGUAAGAAAACUGAAUUCACUGGUAUCUGAAAAGAAGUCAGCUCUAGCCCCAGUUAUAAAAGAGCUACGACAACUGCGUCAAAAAUGUCAAGAACUAACCCAGGAGUGUGAUGAAAAGAAAUCCCAGUAUGAUAGCUGUGCAGCAGGCCUCGAAAGCAAUCGGUCCAAAUUGGAACAGGAAGUCAGAGGACUCCGUGAAGAAUGUCUUCAAGAAGAAAGUAAAUACCAUUAUACAAAUUGUAUGAUUAAGAACCUGGAAGUACAACUUCAUCGCGCUAUUGAUGAGAUGAAGGCAUAUGUCUCUUCUGACCAACAAGAAAAAAGAAAGGCAAUUAGGGAACAGUAUACCAAAAAUAUUGCUGAACAAGAAAAUCUUGGAAAGAAACUUCGGGAGAAACAAAAAGCUGUACGAGAAAGUCACGGUCCAAAUAUGAAACAAGUGAAAAUGUGGCGUGAUUUUGAACAAUUGAUGGAAUGUAAGAAACAGUGCUUUCUGAAACAACAAAACCAAACUUCCAUCGGUCAGGUAAUUCAGGAGGGAGGAGAGGACCGGCUGAUACUCUGAAUUCAUGUGUCGCCACUUGGGGUUUUAGCUGACACGACUUCUAUAAGCACACUCCCGUGGUGUAUUUCUUUUCUUGAAAGUGGUUUGUGCAACAUUUUGCUUUUGAAUUAGCCAUUCCCUAUUAACCUUUUUUGGAAAAUAAUGUUAAGACAACAACAGAUUUAGGUUUUAAAGUUUCUAAUAUGAAAAAAAGGCUUUUAUUUUUGCUUAGUUUAGACAUCAGGGGAGUCUUCUGAGUUUUAUGAGAUGGGAGAUGAAGUUUACUAUAUGUAAAUGUAAACAUAUGUCCAUUAAGAAACAUGUAUUUUUUUUUAAAUGUAGUAACCCAAUGGCUUAAUGUUUUUCUUAAUCUUUUUUUAACUUUAGAAGAAUCUUUUAGGAACUAAUAUCUCUUGUUUUGAAGAAACAUUUAUCUGAAGUUCAGCAAUUCCUACAGUUUCACUUCAGUUUCUUUUUCUUCUGUCAAAUUCAAGAAAAUUUAAUAUUUUGAAUAACAUUCAUAUUACUUAAAAGC